UCUGCAGUGAAUACUUGGCUUAUGAAUACACUCUCAUAUUCAUGAAUCACCCCCAAUAUUCACUCACACUUGCUCUCACUAAAAAUAUUAUCUUCUCACAAUCACAUGGCUUGCUUGUGUAAUAAUGAGUGUGAAUAUGUCUCACAAUCACUUAUCGCUCACACUUGGCUUGGCUUGCUUCUCUGUAUACAAUUGUUUGAGCUAUUCGUUGCUUACCAUUAGAUGAGUUGAAAGGCUCAUGAAUACAUUCACUAAUAAGUGGCUCAUUGUUUAUUCAUGAAUACAUUCACAAAUUCCGUGCCUAUUCAAAAUAUAUUUUAUACCUACGCGGAGGGGUUUUAAAAGGAACGAAACGCGCGAUUGUAGUGACGUCAAAACUGAAACUUCUUUGUUUAUUAUCCUUUUAUUGAAUUAUUUUCUUAAGCUUUAUCUUACAUUCUAGAAAUUGGAGAGCAUAGGUAGAUGAGUCCCUGAAGUUUAUACCUACGCGGAGGGGUUUUAAAAGGAACGGGAACGUAUCGAAGAUGAGAUAGAUCGAUAUUUUACAGAAAGAAUACAAUUUGAUAACGACUUUGACGCAAUUCAAUGGUGGAAGCAACAUAAAGCUAACUUUCCAAGCAUAUCAAAACUUGCACUUAAAAUAUUAACUAUACCUGCAAGUAGUGCGGCGUCUGAACGUGUAUUUUCCUUGGCAGGCAAUUUAAUAACUGAUAAAAGAAAUCGACUUGCACCCAAAACCGUAGAUAAAAUAAUAUUCCUGAAUUCAAUAUUUAAGACUAACUAAUAUGGCAAUAAGACCUUAGAAACUUAAAAAACAAAAAUAUACAAUGAUAUUGAGAAGUAAUUUUGUGCAAUACCUCAAUCUUAAUAUAUAUUUAGAAGCUAUACUUAUAAUAUAUACUUGUAUCUUUGGAGUUGAA